UGUCCCCUUCUCACUUUGCCAAUUGGGUUUAAGUCUUAAUUUGCUAUUCAAGUGGGGCAAAGGAAGUAUCCUUUUAAAAUUCAAGCAAACUGGGUGCUUGUCUUUUUUUUUUAAUUGAAUCACAG